rnacentral:misc_RNA from 1 species
AAUAAACACAAGUUGGAUAACUAUAAUAAGUUCAAAUAGGAAUAUCAUUGAACAGAAUGCUCAAAACAGAAUUUACAAAGUCCAGACAAAUAAAAUCUAGCUAAUUUGAAUCACUAGUUUUUAGAUUCUGCCAAUGCAUCAAGUAAAAGGUUAGGAAAUCAACAAAAUCUAUAAGAUCACAAACCUGAAUUUAGAGUUCCAGGCAGU